rnacentral:rRNA from 1 species
AGGGUUUGAUCCUGGCUCAGGGUGAACGCUGGCGGCGUGCUUGACACAUGCAAGUCGAACGGUAUGUGGCAACACAUAGAGUGGCGAACGGGUGAGUAACACGUGGGAACGUACCAUCUGCAGGGGGAUAACUGACCGAAAGGACAGCUAAUACCGCAUAAGUCCGGAAGGAGAAAGGUGCAAUAGCAUCGGCAGAAGAGCGGCCCGCGGUCCAUCAGCUAGUUGGUGAGGUAAGGGCUUACCAAGGCGACGACGGAUAGCCGGCGUGAGAGCGUGGCCGGCCACAAGGACACUGAGAUACGGGUCCUACUCCUACGGGAGGCAGCAGUGCGGAAUUUUAGAUAAUGGAGGGAACUCUGAUCUAGCGACGCCGCGUGCAGGAAGAAGGUCUUCGGAUUGUAAACUGCUGUGGUAAGGGAAAAAUGCUAUGUAGAGUGGAAAGCUACAUAGAGGGAUGGUACCUUACUAGAAAGCCCCGGCUAACUACGUGCCAGCAGCCGCGGUAAUACGUAGGGGGCGAGCGUUACCCGGAAUCACUGGGCGUAAAGGGAGCGUAGGUGGCCUAACAUGUCAACUGUGAAAACCCGGAGCUCAACUCCGGACUUGCAGUUGAAACUGGUAGGCUUGAGGACGGUAGAGGAAGACGGAACUGCCAGUGUAGGGGUAAAAUCCUUAGAUAUUGGCAGGAACGCCGGUGACGAAGGUGGUUUUCUGGGCCGGUUCUGACACUGAUGCUCGAAAGCCAGGGGAGCGAACGGGAUUAGAUACCCCGGUAGUCCUGGCCCUAAACGAUGUUCACUAGGUGUGGGGAGCGGAAAGCCCUCCGUGCUAAAGCUAACGCGAUAAGUGAACCGCCUGGGGAGUACGCCCGCAAGGGUGAAACUCAAAGGAAUUGACGGGGGCCCGCAC